rnacentral:misc_RNA from 1 species
GCUCUAGUAGUUUGGUCAUGUUAAAGAAACCGAAACUCGAGCAAUUUGAUUCGAUUGUGCCGGCUGGAUUUCUUGCUCGUAUCCGCACCGUGCAGGAGAGUUCGCCGGGACCCUUAGUUGUUGUAGUUAAUAAUAAUAAAGAAAGCAGUAAUCAAAUAGUUAAGGCUCCGUUUGUACGCAGUUGCAAGUAGUUCUGGAAAGCAGGAGAUUAUGGGGAACACAGAUUCUCCGAUUAUACCAAUUCUUCUGUUGGGAUGGAUCAUGUAAGGGUGCACCCAAAAUUUUUGCAUUCGAAUGCAACUAGCCAUAUGUGGGCAUUGGGAGCUUUCGCAGAGCUUUUGGAUAAUUCUUUAGAUGAGAUUUGCAAUGGAGCCACUUAUGUUAAUGUAGAUGUGUUGAAAAACCAGAGAGAUGGUAGCGUGAUGCUGCUAGUGGAAGAUGGAAAUGGGUUUAAAAUAAGUACUAUGAGGCUUGGAGCUGACGUUGUAGUGUUUUUACGUUGUAAUGAUGGGAAGAGCCAAACACAAAGUAUCGGAUUGCUCUCUUACACAUUUUUUACCACAACAGGAAAGGAAGAUAUUGUGGUUCCUA